rnacentral:rRNA from 1 species
GAUGAACGCUGGCGGCGUGCUUAACACAUGCAAGUCGAACGAAGCACUUUAUUUGAUUUCCUUCGGGACUGAUUAUUUUGUGACUGAGUGGCGGACGGGUGAGUAACGCGUGGGUAACCUGCCUUGUACAGGGGGAUAACAGUUGGAAACGGCUGCUAAUACCGCAUAAGCGCACGGCAUCGCAUGAUGCAGUGUGAAAAACUCCGGUGGUAUAAGAUGGACCCGCGUUGGAUUAGCUAGUUGGUGAGGUAACGGCCCACCAAGGCGACGAUCCAUAGCCGACCUGAGAGGGUGACCGGCCACAUUGGGACUGAGACACGGCCCAAACUCCUAUGGGAGGCAGCAGUGGGGAAUAUUGCACAAUGGGCGAAAGCCUGAUGCAGCGACGCCGCGUGAGCGAAGAAGUAUUUCGGUAUGUAAAGCUCUAUCAGCAGGGAAGAUAAUGACGGUACCUGACGAAGAAGCACCGGCUAAAUACGUG